GGGACGCCGUGGGCCGCAGGUCGUUAAUGCUAAUCGUGAUAGGGGUUUUCUCUGUCUGACUGACCCCUGCCCGUUAGCAUUAGCAACGUGCGGCCCCUCGAACCC